rnacentral:rRNA from 1 species
UACGUAGGGUGCAAGCGUUAAUCGGAAUUACUGGGCGUAAAGCGUGCGCAGGCGGUGAUGUAAGACAGAUGUGAAAUCCCGGGCUCAACCUGGGAACUGCAUUUGUGACUGCAUCGCUAGAGUACGGCAGAGGGGGAUGGAAUUCCGCGUGUAGCAGUGAAAUGCGUAGAUAUGCGGAGGAACACCGAUGGCGAAGGCAAUCCCCUGGACCUGUACUGACGCUCAUGCACGAAAGCGUGGG